GGAGGCGAGAAUAUAGCGAGUACGAGUCGGGGUAUGGAAUGAAGAUUCUAGGGAGAGUUGUUUAGUAGUCCUCACCAUUGUUGUAAAAUAAUGUAUCAAUAAUUAUGAUGAGGAUUUAUUUGUAUGCGGAUAUUGUCUAGAUGGCAAUAUCCGUAUUUAAACUCACAGUUUUACUGUUGUAAUAAUAAAGUUGUAGUUGUUUCUGUACCAUGUAUUGACAACUCAGAAUGGG
rnacentral:lncRNA from 1 species